rnacentral:tRNA from 1 species
CAAAGCGUAGCUAAACUAUAGCAUCUCCCUUACACUGAGAAGACACUCGUUAAAAUCGAGUCGCUCUGA